ACCGUUGCUACUUCCGUUAUUCACAAACGACGCCAUUUUGGUUGUUGCUGCUGCACUUUGUUUCCACGUCUGUGUUUACAUUUUGCUCUUUAUCCCGCACGUAUCGCACGUUCUUCACGAUGUAUGCCACUGUUGCUUUGGUUUAUUAUCAAGCCCAGGACGAUCUCUACAGGUUUAGGAACUACCAGGCCCCCGUCUCCCAAAAGACUCUUCCUGUCCCUGAUCCUCGCACCAGUGACUUCACGAUCACCGUCAACCCCCUCUCAUCCCAGCCCGACCCCCAGA